GACGAACGCUGGCGGCGUGCCUAACACAUGCAAGUCGAACGGGGUAAUGACUUCGGUUAUUACUUAGUGGCGAACGGGUGAGAACGCGUGAGAAACCUGCCUUUCAGUGGGGGACAACAGUUGGAAACGACUGCUAAUACCGCAUAAUGUUAUUUGGGGGCAUCCCUGAAUAACCAAAGAUUUAUUGCUGAAAGAUGGUCUCGCGUCUGAUUAGCUAGUUGGUGAGGUAACGGCUCACCAAGGCGACGAUCAGUAGCCGGUCUGGGAGGAUGAACGGCCACAUUGGGACUGAGAUACGGCCCAGACUCCUACGGGAGGCAGCAGUGGGGAAUAUUGGGCAAUGGGCGAAAGCCUGACCCAGCAACGCCGCGUGAAGGAAGAAGGCCUUCGGGUUGUAAACUUCUUUUACCAGGGACGAAUUUUGACGGUACCUGGAGAAAAAGCAACGGCUAACUACGUGCCAGCAGCCGCCGUAAAAC
rnacentral:rRNA from 1 species